CUGGAGAGCUUGGCCUCUAAUGUUGCCUGGGCUCCACCCUUGGAGAUCCUGAUUUAAUUGGUCUGGGGUGGGGUGCAGGAGUCAGCAUUUUUUUAACAGCUUUCCAGAUGAUUCUUUUCUGUAGCUAGGUUGAGAAGUGCAGGAAUCAAAAACAGUAGAGAUUUCAGGAUAGAAAGAACAGCACAAGGAUUCAUCACUAUUCAAGACCUUACCUUGCUACACAAAACAUCAACAUCUCUGUCCUAUCUGCGUGCUUAGUUCAAUUAGUUUCCUGUGUGACUACGUCUGCUACGGAAAGAAGAUGGAGGUUUCAUCUUGACUCUGACGCUGUCACCCCUCAGAUUCUUCUGUCCAAACCAAGUGCAGACCAUUACACAGAGCAGGAUAGUGGACUUGGCAUCCAGCAAAGGCAAGAACAUUUCCAUACAUGUAUGCGCAGUUUUGAGUGAGGUGCACAGGAACACAGUUAAGAUAACUCAAGAGUCUUUGAAUCCUGGA
rnacentral:lncRNA from 1 species